rnacentral:lncRNA from 1 species
CGUAUUCAUUCACAUGUUCAUCUGCUCAGGCAUUCAUUGAAUAUUUAUUGUCUAAAUUAUGUACAGUGUAGACACAGAUGCCAAAGGAAGAAGAGUUUGGCUGUCACCAUCACUGUGGCUUGUGUGACAGGCCCUGAAGUGGAGAGUUGCUGCAGGGGCUGCUGUGGGAUUGGUAAACCCAGGUUGGAGAGGACCAGAAUCGCCCCUGGAGGAAACAAGCACCUUCAGUCCUCCAAGUGCUAUUGGGUCCCAGUGACUUGCAGAACAACACACGCCCACUGAGCCAGUACUGGCCCUCGGCCUGUGGAAGGAUGCCACCCACACAUCUCGGUUAAACCACGGGAUGGUGCCA